rnacentral:pre_miRNA from 1 species
AGGAGGAACAACCCCAGUGGCGGGGCCAGCUCUGGAAACCUGGAUUCAGCCCCCGCAGGAACUCCAGAGCUCUCGGUCUGCAGGGCCUGGAGGCUCCAGGGCGGG